AUUGAACGCUGGCGGCAGGCCUAACACAUGCAAGUCGAGCGGAGCGGCGGACGGGUGAGUAAUGCCUAGGAAUCUGCCUGGUAGUGGGGGAUAACGUCCGGAAACGGGCGCUAAUACCGCAUACUAUCAGAUGAGCCUAGGUCGGAUUAGGUAGGUGGUGGGGUAAAGGCCUACCAAGGCGACGAUCCGUAACUGGUCUGAGAGGAAGAUCAGUCAUACUGGAGCUGAGACGCGGUACAGGCUCCUACGGGAGGCAGCAGGGGGGAAUGUGGGACAAUGGGCGAAGGCCUGGUCCAGGCAUGCCGUGUGUGAAGAAGGUCUUCGGAUUGUAAAGCACUUUAAGUUGGGAGGCGUUACCAACAGAAUAAGCACCGGCUAACUUCGUGCCAGCAGCCGCGGUAAUAC
rnacentral:rRNA from 1 species